rnacentral:misc_RNA from 1 species
UCCCGGUUAACCCGGGCAGUCUCAUUAGAGUUCCCACCUUAAAUGUUGGCAACUAAUGAUAAGGGUUGCGCUCGUUGCGGGACUUAACCCAACACCUCACGGCACGAGCUGACGACAGCCAUGCAGCACCUGUGCAGCAGUCCCGAAGGAAAGGUCUAUCUCUAGACCGGUCUACUGCAUGUCAAGCCUGGGUAAGGUUCUUCGCGUUACAUCGAAUUAAACCACAUGCUCCACUGCUUGUGCGGGUCCCCGUCAAUUCUUUUGAGUUUCAGCCUUGCGACUGUACUCCCCAGGCGGUAUACUUAACGCGUUAGCUCCGGCACAACUAGGGUUGAAUCUAGUUACACCAAGUAUACAUCGUUUACAGCAAGGACUAC